rnacentral:rRNA from 1 species
AGCAGCCGCGGUAAUUCCAGCUCCAAUAGCGUAUAUUAAAGUUGUUGCAGUUAAAAAGCUCGUAGUUGAAUUUCGGGGUCAGUAGGUCGGUCGUGCCACUGGUAUGAACUGGUCUCACUGAUUCCUCCCUCUUGUAGAACCGUGAUGCCAUUAAUUUGGUGUUGCGGGGAAACAGGACUGUUACUUUGAAAAAAUUAGAGUGUUUAAAGCAAGCUAACGCUUGAAUACAUUAGCAUGGAAUAAUGAAAUAGGACGUCUGUCUUAUUUUGUUGGUUUCUGGGAUGGACGUAAUGAUUAAUAGGGAUAGUUGGGGGCAUUAGUAUUCAAUUGUCAGAGGUGAAAUUCUUGGAUUUAUUGAAGACUAACUACUGCGAAAGCAUUUGCCAAGGAUGUUUUCAUUAAUCAAGAACGAAAGUUAGGGGAUCGAAGACGAUCAGAUACCGUCGUAGUCUUAACCAUAAACUAUGCCGACUAGGGAUCGGAUGAUGUUAAUUUUUUAAUGACUCAUUCGGCGCCUUAC